UGGAGCUGGACAGCACGACAACUCAUGCUACACGCAGAGCUCUCAUGCGCGGCCAUGGCAGCUUGGCACUGCGAGCCUCCAAGGAACAGCUGCUCACCCGCCUGGAGGGAGACAUCGUGGGCAACAUCCUGCUGCUCUACAGCUGCAGCUGCCGGGACUUCCAGAACAACCUUGCGCUGGUGCAGAGCAUCACCGACUUCAGCUCUGCCUUCCAAGCUGUGGGUGACUCCGUCUGCUUUAACCCCUCCUAGAAGGGCAAGCUGCUGGAGAUCCUGACGGACUUGCUGAAGAAGUAGUACUUGGGCAUCCCUUUCUCCCAAGUGCCCCUCAAGGUGGUUCUGGACCUGGUGCAGUUGAGACUGUGUGCAGAAACUUCCCCCUGGAACGCACCAUUGACUUCAUGAUGGCCCUCAAGGAUAUCUUCCUGAGAGCCAAAGGAAUGCGUGUGCGCGCUGCUGGGAAAUGGAUGAUAACCUUUCUGCAGAUGUACAGGAAGGCCAUCUGUCAGGACAUAAGAGACUUUCUUCCAAGUGUCUUGGACGACUUCUGGCUGUUGCAUGAUGCCUUGUGCCUUUUGCCUCUUGUGCUAAAGAGGCACAGCCUGAGCGCAGAGCCAGGGCUUGGACAGGGUGG
ensembl:lncRNA